CCUACGGGUGGCAGCAGUAGGGAAUUUUGCACAAUGGGCGAAAGCCUGAUGCAGCAAUGCCGCGUGAAUGAUGAAGGUCUUAUAGUUUGUAAAAUUCUUUUAUUUGGGAAUAAAGACUAAAGUAUGAAAUUACUUUCGUCUGACUUUUCCAUUUGAAUAGGUAUCGUCUAAUCCUGUGCCAGCAGCCGCGGUAAUACAUAGGAUGCAAGCGUUAUCCGAUUGUAUGGGGGGUAAAACGAGCUCAGGCGGGUUAACAAGUAUGGUAUGAAUGGCUUGUGCUUAACGUAAGUUUGUAUCAAAAACUGUUAAACUUGAGUGUAGUAGAGGGUGCUGGAAUUCCAGGUGGAGCGGUGGAAUGCGUAGAUAUAUGGAAGAACACCAGUGGCGAAGGCGAGAACUUAGGCUAUCACUGACGCUUAGGCUCGAAAGUGUGGGGAGCAAAUAGGAUUAGAUACCCGGGUAGUC
rnacentral:rRNA from 1 species